CUAACCUAAAACAAUGAAAGCCCUUCCUCUCUCCCAUCAAUACGGUUCCUAGACCGCGCCUGUGAGAAUCAGGUUUAGACUUAAACA
rnacentral:sRNA from 2 species